UACAGAUUGCUGUCAACGCCAUGGAAAUAGGUUCAACCUCAAAGAAUAUUAAAAAUGCACAAGGCUUUCGAUACGGACCAUUCCUACGAUGAUGCCAUACAGAGAAAAGGGAAGACACAGAGCUGUGUGUGCGGUGCGCCGCCGCGGUGUCAAGGGUGGCGUUUGUCGGGAUGCAAACUCUGGGUGCCGUGGGUGCUGUCCGGCGGGGAACAGGGGCAAUGAAAGCUUAUGAAAAAUGCUUGUAAGCAGAAAAAAGGAAAACCGUAUUUCUGCUUAUUCAGGCCUGAUCUUCACCGUCUUUAGAACGACUAGAAGGUAGACUUCCCCCGGAUAAUGAGAAGUAAUAAAAAUCAG